CAGCAGCCGCGGGAAUACGUAGGUGGCAAGCGUUGUCCGGAUUUAUUGGGCGUAAAGCGAGCGCAGGCGGUCAAUUAAGUCUGAUGUGAAAGCCCCCGACUCAACCGGGGAGGGUCAUUGGAAACUGGUUGACUUGAGUGCAGAAGAGGAGAGUGGAAUUCCAUGUGUAGCGGUGAAAUGCGUAGAUAUAUGGAGGAACACCAGUGGCGAAGGCGACUCUCUGGUCUGUAACUGACGCUGAGGCUCGAAAGCGUGGGUAGCAAACAGGAUUAGAUACCCCUGUAGUCCCUGUCUCUUAUAC
rnacentral:rRNA from 1 species